CUGCACAUGCAGACGGUGCUUAACAGAUACCUGUGGAAGGAGGAGAGAAGCCGGAGAGAGAGAGCGGAACGGCGGGGUGCGUGGGAGGGAUGGACGGAGAGGAGAUACACCAGUGUCCGCAGGAUCCUGACAGCGGAGGUGGGCUGGCAGGGUCCCACAUCCUCGGGAACCUGUGACACCUGUGACGGUGCGAACGGUGGUGGGACUCAGCUGCCCCUCUUUGCUCAGUGCCCACAGCAAAUGCCCAGUGGCUGCGGAGACUGAGACAGCAAACGCGUGUGUCACCGGCCCAGCGCCCGCGAAGACGACUGCUCGCGCCAUUGUUGCUCCACAUGACAGCGAGCUCAGAGGCGC
rnacentral:lncRNA from 1 species